GUUGCCGCGACUCCGACGCUCCAGCUCGCCGUCAACUCUGUGUGGUAUCUGGGUGCACUGUUCGUUGACUAACCGCUGUUGCUGCCGUGCCGGCCCGUGCCCCUACGAAUUGUGCCGGUAUGGACCCUGUGUUGCGCGCACGCCUUCAAAGGAUCGCCAACGUGAUGGACCUGUACGGGAACACGCCGUGCCAAACCACCUCGGCUCGAGAUGAGGAGCCGAGCUCGAGUUCACGGAGCUCAUCAAACUGCAAGGCGUGGCUGUGUAAUUACGCUAGCGACUUGGCGGUUGCCGUUUUAGUCUGUCCGGCAUUAAAGAAAGCGUCGCG
rnacentral:lncRNA from 1 species